AGCGAACGCUGGCGGCGUGCUUAACACAUGCAAGUCGAGCGAAGGUGUUUCAAGGGUAACCUUGAGAUACACUUAGCGGCGGACGGGUGAGUAAUACGUGGAUAACUUACCUCUAGGCCUGGGAUAACCCCGGGAAACUGGGGCUAAUACCUGAUAAGACCACAUUGUCUACGGACAAAGGGGUAAAAGGUGGCUGUGCAAACAGCUAUCGCCAAAAGAUAGGUUCACGUCCCAUCAGGCAGUUGGUGAGGUAAUGGCUCACCAAACCAAAGACGGGUAGCCGGCCUUGGC
rnacentral:rRNA from 1 species